rnacentral:rRNA from 1 species
ACGCACGCUGGCGGCAUGCCUAACACCUGCAAGUCGAACGCGACCUUCGGGUCUAGUGGCGCACGGGUGCGUAACGUGUGGGAACCUGCCCUUAGGUUCGGAAUAACUCCCCGAAAGGGGUGCUAAUACCGGAUAAUGUCUUCGGACCAAAGAUUUAUCGCCUUUGGAUGGGCCCGCGUUGGAUUAGCUAGUUGGUAGGGUAAAAGCCUACCAAGGCGACGAUCCAUAGCUGGUCUGAGAGGAUGAUCAGCCACACUGGGACUGAGACACGGCCCAGACUCCUACGGGAGGCAGCAGUGGGGAAUAUUGGACAAUGGGCGAAAGCCUGAUCCAGCAAUGCCGCGUGAGUGAUGAAGGCCUUAGGGUUGUAAAGCUCUUUUACCCGGGAUGAUAAUGACAGUACCGGGAGAAUAAGCGCCGGCUAACUCCGUG